GUACUGUCGCAGCCUGACAGCCAUGCCGCGUGCAGGAUGACGGUCCUAUGGAUUGUAAACUGCUUUUGUACGAGAAGAAACACUGAUUCGUGAAUCAGCUUGACGGUAUCGUAAGAAUAAGGAUCGGCUAACUCCGUGCCAGCAGCCGCGGUAAUACGGAGGAUCCAAGCGUUAUCCGGAAUCAUUGGGUUUAAAGGGUCCGUAGGCGGUCUUGUAAGUCAGUGGUGAAAGCCCAUCGCUCAACGGUGGAACGGCCAUUGAUACUGCUGGACUUGAAUUAUUAGGAAGUAACUAGAAUAUGUAGUGUAGCGGUGAAAUGCUUAGAGAUUACAUGGAAUACCAAUUGCGAAGGCAGGUUACUACUAAUUGAUUGACGCUGAUGGACGAAAGCGUGGGUAGCGAACAGGAUUAGAUACCCUGGUAGUCCACGCCGUAAACGAUGGAUACUAGCUGUUGGGAGCAAUUUCAGUGGCUAAGCGAAAGUGAUAAGUAUCCCACCUGGGGAGUACGUUCGCAAGAAUGAAACUCAAAGAAAAUUUGACGGA
rnacentral:rRNA from 1 species